ensembl:lncRNA
CACACACCAGUCUCUACCUACAGAGAACAAACUACCAUGGACCAGGGGAAUCACACACCAGUCUCUACCUACAGAGAACAGUCUGAAUGACUCAAACUACCAGAACAACUAAAUGAAACUUGAGCGUUACACCUGUGGAAUGGUAUCAGGAAGGCUACCGUGUAUAACUAACUAUACAAUACUGCACAGCUUUUCAACAGUGAUGUGUUCUUUUUUAGCAACACAAUAGGGAUCUUUAAGGGACACAAUAAGAUGACCGUAUAUCACGGUCUCGUUCAUUGACCGCUGGUCUAGAAAUCAACAGUUCUGGAGAAAACAGGCUGUGCGGAUUCCAUCAACAGCAGGGACUGACCCGUAACAGGGUGUCAUCAUGGUGACUCCAGCCACAGCCCAGGCCUCAAUAAACACUCUAUAAUGUAGUGCUGCAGUAACAGAGCCCUGUUCCCCCUCUGCUGUCUCCUCUCUUCCACUGCACUGUGUGGAACGGACACACACCCACCCACCCUGUCACUGUCAAUUACCCCUGUUCCAGAGAUCAGUUCCGGACUCCAUCAAGCCACUGAUCAGCCGUGUUAGUUAGGUGAGUGACAUGGUGUGUUUGUGCGAGUGCCUGCGCAAGUGUCUAUGAGGAGUGACGUGUUGCUAACGCAGGCCAGCCAGGGUGACUCCCCUGGCAACAUAACGUCUGUGUCCGCAGGACAGCCUGUUCCCUAUUAAGUGUACUAUGUAGAGAAUAGGUAGCCAUUUGGAUCAGAAACUUGUCUUCACAAGGACUCAAAUAUAGUAGGGGAGGACAGGGAUAGGUUGGGCUUAAUGGCAUAUGUUUUUGUCCAAGGAAAACAACGGUACAUGAAUCUCCUGCCGCACAUAGCCCUGAUCUGUCCCUUUAGUC